UAGCAGUGUGUGGCCAAACAUCUGUCACCCACAGCACAGGGUCUCCUUCAGUCCUGGCCACAGAGGACAGUCAGUAGCUGGAAACUCUGCAAACCCAAAGCCCGUGGAAUGGAAGGAGUGGAGAGCAAAGCCCUGAAGGCCUGUAAUGCACCAGCAUUCCUGGGAGCUGGAGCAGCACAGGGGUGCUGGAACUAAGCCCAGAGAAGCUCUGCUAUCCCUUCUUGCUCUCCUAACUGCACCCAUCUGACCUGCAGCUGCCCAGAACCAAGCUUUCUUCAGUGCCUCACACUGCCCUUUGAGCCAGGCCUUCAGAUCACUACAGAAUGGCCACCCCGUGUAUUCACAGCAAAAUCUUGUAGGAACUGCACAGACCACCCUGCAAGAGGGAACAGGAGAAUCCCCAGUGACAUCAGUGCCAACACCUUGCCAACUUCCUGGUGGCUGGAGAGAGCCUUUGGCCAGGGAAGCAGGGGACCUUGAGCCUUUAUGUGUGGAAAAAUCCUCUCUGCCUGCUGUCCCUUGCCUGUUCUACAGAGGGCCACCUAAAUGGUCUUGGAUUUUGUCUAGAAGAGUCAGGCAGAGAGCCUCAGGAACAACUCCAGUAUCAAGGGCAUCUUCCAGGACUGUUGCACUGGGAGCACAAUGAUUGCCUUAUCUGCCUGAUGCUGCUCUUCCACGUACACAUUUGUAGGUCAAGGGAUUGGAAGAGAUUUAAAUAGGAGUUCCCAUGGCUCCUGAAAUUAAUACAAAGUCUUAUUUGGCAGACAUUAAUAUAAAGCCUUUCCUGGCUGUUAUAAAAUUCACCACAUUCCAUUCUGGUGGGUCACCUUAGCACUGUGAUCUGAGGGAGGGCAGAAACAGCAGCAAAAAUGCCCACCACGUUUGGGAAUGCCUACCUGGACUCAAACACCUUCAGAGCCUGUUUCCAGAACUGGUGAUGGAUUUAAGUCGCUCAGGAGACAUCCAGCUUGCUCCAGGUGACAUCUUCAAGGUUACAGGAGAAAAAAAAAACCCAACCACGUUUGGCUUCUGUCAGCUGCAAUUUCUGCCCUGUUAGAGUUAGGAAAUGAAAACUUUACCCAUCCCUCCCCCAUGACUGUGCUCAAAACUCCACAAUCUAUUUUCUCUCACUCUUCACCUCUUCUCCUUUAUAUUGGCUGCUUUGCACCAAAAGCCCCACAGAUACAUGCACUUUGACACUUGCAUUUCAAAAUGCCUGAUUGUGGAAUUCUGCCAAUACCAGCAAUUGAUCUGGUGCCACAGACCAGCUUAAUUAUUCAAGGUCAGUCUUCCUCUGUCUCUUCUUGUCCAGGGAGCAGCAGCUAUGGGGAAUAAAACUUGAACAGUCUUUAAAUUUUAAUCAUAAACUUCAGUAAGUCACAGAUUUGUUUUGCUGUAUGUGGGGUUUUCUCUAUUGUACUUGCUGCAACUUUUGCAGCCUCCCUGCUCAGAGCAUGGCUUUCCUGCUCAGUACAACACUGGGCUUUUGUAGAGCACUGUAUUUUACACUGCUAUUUAAAAUGCAUAAGUUGUGUGAUCUAAGCAGUUUCCAGUUCACUUUUGAGCUCCUGUAAAACGUAUCCCUGAAGGCAUUUCAGCUGAGCAGCUAAGAAGGUGAGGGUAUUAGAGGUUGUGAAAUGGCUUGUCUGCUAAUUCUUUCUAUGUGCAUCUCUUCAGAUAAAUCUCCUGUGACCUCCUGCUACAAGCAGAACAUUAGUUAAGUAUCUUCUUGGUAAUGGAGUGUCCUGGACCUGAUCCUGUCUCAUCCUAAGGGCUCUUCACGAUAGCUGGGAAGAUGUUUGCCUGCAGGGGAAUGGCAGAGGUGUCCCUGGAAGCACACGAGGUGCAGGUGGCUUCUCUGAGCAGUGCUGGGCUGGCUCAAGGAGCCCUGUCCAGCCUGUGGGGCACCGAGGGAGCCUGGAGGCUCAGGGGGCUGCACUGCCCCAGGCUGGCUCAUGGAGGGCUAGAGAUCCAUUUACAGCAGCCUUGGGCAUGCCCUGCACAUCAUCUGCCCCGAGCUAUGGGCAAACAGGGAAGCCUUUGGAGCCCUCAGUCCAUCCCUGAAGCAACUUGGAUAACUGACAGAGCCUAAGGAGCUAUAAUUUUAA